rnacentral:rRNA from 1 species
AACCAGCACCUCAAGUGGUCAGGAGGAUUAUUGGGCCUAAAGCAUCCGUAGCCUGUUCUAUAAGUUUGCGGUUAAAUCUAUACGCUCAACGUAUAGGCUGCCGUAAAUACUGUAGAACUAGGGAGUGGGAGAGGUAGACGGUACUCGAUAGGAAGGGGUAAAAUCCUUUGAUCUAUUGAUGACCACCUGUGGCGAAGGCGGCCACCUGGACUGAUACUGACACUGAGGUGCGAAAGCGUGGGGAGCAAACAGG